GCUUAAAGUGCUUUUUCAAAAAUGAAAAAUACAAAUGUAGUCUUCAGGUUUACAAUAUAUGCAUGUAAACUAUAAAUGAGGAUCUGUCAAGCUGACAAGAACACAUAUAUUUUUUUCUAGGUUUAAUUCUUAUAAAAAAAACAAUUUCAAUAUGAUGAGUAAUGAAAAUUUUGUUGUGUAAAUUGUACUGAUAUGGCCCUUAAUUGAUCAUAAAAUAAGAAUUUGAGUGUUCUGUUUGUUAUUUUUACUUUUUGUUUACCAGAUUCAACUUUUCAAAAUUGAAGGGUUAAUCUAAUUUACUGAA
rnacentral:lncRNA from 1 species